GACGUAGGGCGCGAGCGUUGUCCGGAUUUAUUGGGCGUAAAGAGCUCGUAGGCGGCUUGUCGCGUCGACUGUGAAAUCCCGCGGCUCAACCGCGGGUCUGCAGUCGAUACGGGCAGGCUAGAGUUCGGUAGGGGAGACUGGAAUUCCUGGUGUAGCGGUGAAAUGCGCAGAUAUCAGGAGGAACACCGGUGGCGAAGGCGGUGGUCUGGGCCGGCACUGACGCUGGAGGAGCGAAAGCGUGGGUAGCAAACAGG
rnacentral:rRNA from 1 species